ACGGAAGGCAGCAGUGGGGAAUAUUGCACAAUGGGGGAAACCCUGAUGCAGCAACGCCGCGUGAGUGAUGACGGUCUUCGGAUUGUAAAGCUCUGUCUUUGGGGACGAUAAUGACGGUACCCAAGGAGGAAGCCACGGCUAACUACGUGCCAGCAGCCGCGGUAAUACGUAGGUGGUGAGCGUUGUCCGGAUUUACUGGGCGUAAAGGGAGCGUAGGCGGAUUCUUAAGUGGGAUGUGAAAUACCCGGGCUUAACCUGGGUGCUGCAUUCCAAACUGGGAAUCUAGAGUGCAGGAGGGGAGAGUGGAAUUCCUAGUGUAGCGGUGAAAUGCGUAGGGAUUAGGAAGAACACCAGUGGCGAAGGCGACUCUCUGGACUGUAACUGACGCUGAGGCUCGAAAGCGUGGGGAGCAAACAGGAUUAGAUACCCUGGUA
rnacentral:rRNA from 1 species